UACGUAGGGGGCAAGCGUUGUCCGGAAUCAUUGGGCGUAAAGCGCGUGUAGGCGGUUCGGUAAGUCGGCUGUGAAAGUCCAGGGCUCAACCUGGGAAUGGCAGUGGAAACUGGCGAGCUUGAGUGUGGCAGAGGGGGGUGGAAUUCCACGUGUAGCAGUGAAAUGCGUAGAGAUGUGGAGGAACACCGAUGGCGAAGGCAGCCCCCUGGGCCAAUACUGACGCUCAUGCACGAAAGCGUGGGGAGCAAACAGG
rnacentral:rRNA from 1 species